AGAGUUUGAUCAUGGCUCAGAUUGAACGCUGGCGGCAGGCCUAACACAUGCAAGUCGAACGGUAACAGGAAGAAGCUUGCUUCUUUGCUGACGAGUGGCGGACGGGUGAGUAAUGUCUGGGAAACUGCCUGAUGGAGGGGGAUAACUACCGGAAACGGUAGCUAAUACCGCAUAACGUCGCAAGACCAAAGAGGGGGACCUUCGGGCCUCUUGCCAUCGGAUGUGCCCAGAUGGGAUUAGCUAGUAGGUGGGGUAACGGCUCACCUAGGCGACGAUCCCUAGCUGGUCUGAGAGGAUGACCAGCCACACUGGAACUGAGACACGGUCCAGACUCCUACGGGAGGCAGCAGUGGGGAAUAUUGCACAAUGGGCGCAAGCCUGAUGCAGCCAUGCCGCGUGUAUGAAGAAGGCCUUCGGGUUGUAAAGUACUUUCAGCUGGGAGGAAGGGAGUAAAGUUAAUACCUUUGCUCAUUGACGUUACCCGCAGAAGAAGCACCGGCUAACUCCGUGCCAGCAGCCGCGGUAAUACGGAGGGUGCAAGCGUUAAUCGGAAUUACUGGGCGUAAAGCGCACGCAGGCGGUUUGUUAAGUCAGAUGUGAAAUCCCCGGGCUCAACCUGGGAACUGCAUCUGAUACUGGCAAGCUUGAGUCUCGUAGAGGGGGGUAGAAUUCCAGGUGUAGCGGUGAAAUGCGUAGAGAUCUGGAGGAAUACCGGUGGCGAAGGCGGCCCCCUGGACGAAGACUGACGCUCAGGUGCGAAAGCGUGGGGAGCAAACAGGAUUAGAUACCCUGGUAGUCCACGCCGUAAACGAUGUCGACUUGGAGGUUGUGCCCUUGAGGCGUGGCUUCCGGAGCUAACGCGUUGAGUCGACCGCCUGGGGAGUACGGCCGCAAGGUUAAAACUCAAAUGAAUUGACGGGGGCCCGCACAAGCGGUGGAGCAUGUGGUUUAAUUCGAUGCAACGCGAAGAACCUUACCUGGUCUUGACAUCCACGGAAGUUUUCAGAGAUGAGAAUGUGCCUUCGGGAACCGUGAGACAGGUGCUGCAUGGCUGUCGUCAGCUCGUGUUGUGAGAUGUUGGGUUAAGUCCCGCAACGAGCGCAACCCUUAUCCUUUGUUGCCAGCGGUCCGGCCGGGAACUCAAAGGAGACUGCCAGUGAUAAACUGGAGGAAGGUGGGGAUGACGUCAAGUCAUCAUGCCCCUUACGACCAGGGCUACACACGUGCUACAAUGGCGCAUACAAAGAGAAGCGACCUCGCGAGAGCAAGCGGACCUCAUAAAGUGCGUCGUAGUCCGGAUUGGAGUCUGCAACUCGACUCCAUGAAGUCGGAAUCGCUAGUAAUCGUGGAUCAGAAUGCCACGGUGAAUACGUUCCCGGGCCUUGUACACACCGCCCGUCACACCAUGGGAGUGGGUUGCAAAAGAAGUAGGUAGCUUAACCUUCGGGAGGGCGCUUACCACUUUGUGAUUCAUGACUGGGGUGAAGUC
rnacentral:rRNA from 1 species